rnacentral:rRNA from 1 species
UGGGGAAUAUUGCACAAUGGGCGAAAGCCUGAUGCAGCAACGCCGCGUGAGGGACGACGGCCUUCGGGUUGUAAACCUCUUUUAGCAAGGAAGAAGCGAAAGUGACGGUACUUGCAGAAAAAGCGCCGGCUAACUACGUGCCAGCAGCCGCGGUAAUACGUAGGGCGCAAGCGUUAUCCGGAAUUAUUGGGCGUAAAGAGCUCGUAGGCGGUUUGUCGCGUCUGCUGUGAAAACCCGAGGCUCAACCUCGGGCCUGCAGUGGGUACGGGCAGACUAGAGUGCGGUAGGGGAGAUUGGAACUCCUGGUGUAGCGGUGGAAUGCGCAGAUAUCAGGAAGAACACCGAUGGCGAAGGCAGAUCUCUGGGCCGUAACUGACGCUGAGGAGCGAAAGGGUGGGGAGCAAACAGGCUUAGAUACCCUGGUAGUCCACCCGUAAACGUUGGGAACUAGUUGUGGGGUCCAUUCCACGGAUUCCGUGACGCAGCUAACGCAUUAAGUUCCCCGCCUGGGGAGUACGGCCGCAAGGCUAAAACUUAAAUGAAUUGACGGGGUCAUAGCUGUUUCCU